rnacentral:rRNA from 1 species
CCUACGGGGGGCUGCAGUGAGGAAUAUUGGUCAAUGGCCGCAGGGCUGAACCAGCCAAGUCGCGUGAGGGAUGACGGUCCUAUGGAUUGUAAACCUCUUUUGCCAGGGAGCAAAGGGCGCCACGUGUGGCGCUUUGCGAGUACCUGAAGAAAAAGCAUCGGCUAACUCCGUGCCAGCAGCCGCGGUAAUACGGAGGAUGCGAGCGUUAUCCGGAUUUAUUGGGUUUAAAGGGUGCGCAGGCGGAAUGUCAAGUCAGCGGUAAAAUUUCGGGGCUCAACCCCGUCGUGCCGUUGAAACUGGCGUUCUUGAGUGAGCGAGAAGUAUGCGGAAUGCGUGGUGUAGCGGUGAAAUGCAUAGAUAUCACGCAGAACUCCGAUUGCGAAGGCAGCAUACCGGCGCUCAACUGACGCUCAUGCACGAAAGCGUGGGUAUCGAACAGGAUUAGAUACCCCAGUAGUC